rnacentral:rRNA from 1 species
AGGAUAAACGCUGGCGGCGUGCCUAACACAUGCAAGUCGAACGCGCUUUCGGGCUUCGGUGCGAGAGCGAGUGGCGGACGGGUGAGUAACACAUGGGUACCUACCUUGGAGUGAGGGAUACCGGCGAGAAAUCGCCGACAAUACCGCAUAGGCUUCUUCACAAGGGAAGCAAAGUGACGCGAGUCACGCUUUGAGAUGGGCCUGUGGCCGAUUAGCUAGUUGGGGGGUAAUGGCCCACCAAGACGAUGAUCGGUA